UGUACUCAAAGAAUCUUGCAGCUCAUGUUGGCCGGAAGAAGGAGUUAGAACCCUGAAAUAGCCACAGAUUAUAAGCUAUCAUGUGGGUGCUGGGAAUCAAAGCCAGGUCCUCUGGAAGAGCAGCCCUUAAUCAACGAACCGUCUCUCAAUCACAUAGCUGCAGUUUUUUCAAACUAAAGCAUUUCCCCAAAUCUAAAGUGUUCUUGUGAGUUUCUUGAAAGAGAAAUGACCUAUUAGUAUAUCUCCAGACCUUAAAAUGCCACUAGAAAAACUUUUAUAAAAAUCCAUCAAUUCAGUGGGAGGAGGUUUUCUUUUGGGAAGUUCACCUGUCCAUGAUAAAUGAACUCUGAGACUGGGAACAUGGGGGAUGGGGGCGGGCAGCCUCUGGAUUGUUUGCAGUUUUCCCUUUUCAAAGCUGGAGUGUUUUCUCAGAUUUUGACUGGCCACGUCUUCCAUGACAGGCUGAUUGACAUACCAUUUUCUAUGUAAGCAGUUUUGUACUUUUUCCUUUUUGAGGGAAGUUUGGAGAUCUGUUCUUUAUGCUAUAGGUGUCUGGACAUUUCCAUCAAUCUUCUCUGAGGAAGGAAAUCUAGCCCCUGUUAGUAGCCUGAGGAUUUACUCUCCCUUCAGCUCCUAAGUCAGCAUCUAGUGAGUACAGAGUCCACUUCCUCCUCUGAGAUGGGAACUGGGUUAUGUAACCUUGCGGUAGAGCAUGAGGCUCUGGUGUGUUCUGAGAAGCUACUGUCCAGCUGUGGGCCACUCAGUGCCUGAGUCUUCCUGUGGUUUCACCCAGCCAUCUUGUCUCGUUAGGAACUGUUUAGCCAUGUUGAGGAAUAAAUUUGAUAAUGGAUGUGAAAGCUCUUUGGAAAUCCUAAGCUGCAGAGAGCAAUUAUCUCAGCGCACACAGUUGUUUUUCUAAGCUGUUAGCUUUAUUAACAGGCUCUCUUUAAAAAGACCUGAUAGAAGCAUCAUUUUAUCCUCUUUCACAGGGAAGAGUAUUAGCAUAAGGUUCUGUUUUAUAUAAAGGCAGCUACAACAUCCUGAAAUGAUUCAAAAUGGAGAGAGAAGUUUCACCCACUGCACUUAGGGCUGGCGGGCUUUGUGGCUUGCUUCUCUACUAUAGGUUCACACACAUCAAGAAGGCCCAGUGCAUUUUGGUCUUGCAGAAGGAAGUUGUCUAGAAGCACUAUUGACAGCCUGGGUGGCUCCAGAUGAACUCCACAGGGGGACUGUCUCCAGUGUCAUUUGGAGGAACAUGAAAGCCUUUUUUCUCUUUCUCUUUGGACAGAAUGAGAAGGAGGGUUUAUGUCCUCAGUGUUUGGAGUAGAUUAGGAUAGAGGAAUAAAAACAUUCAAUCCCAUCAACUUUUACUACCUCCUCCUCCUCCUCCUCCUCCUCUUCCUCCUCCUCCUCCUCCUCCUCCUCCUCCUCCUUCUUUUGCCUAUAAGACUUCCUCUCCCCUACCUAACUCAGGACCUUGAGAUUACUCUACACCUGAGAUAUAACCUCAGUUACUAGCCAUUUUUUUUUUUUUUGAGAAAGGGUCACAAAUAGCACAGGCUGCCCUUGAACUUGUUGAAUAUCCAAGGAUAAAUCUCCUUAGCACUGGAAUUAAGAGAAAUGUUGGGGAUGGAUUCCCAGGGCUUUGUGCAUGCCAGAUGUGGUGGUUUGAAUAAAAAUAGCCCCCAUAGGUGGCACUAUUAGGAGGUGUGGUUUUGUUGGUGGAGGUGUGUCCCUAGGGCAUGGGCUUUGAGCUCUCUGACUGCUUAAGUCUGGCCUAGUGUGACUGUCUCUUCCUGCUGCCCGCGGAUACAAAUGUAGAACUCGCAGUUCCUUCUCCAGCACUACGUCUGCCAGCCAAGACAAAAAUUGACUAAAUCUCUGAAACUGUAAGCCAAUCCCAAUUAAAUGUUUUCCUUCAUAAGAGUUUCCUUGUCCAUGGUGUAUCUUCAUAGCAAUAAAACCCUAAGGUCAGCACUCUGCCAUCUAUGCUACACCCCCGAGCCUUCAGUCUAUUUUCUAUCAUGGACGUUGGCUGGUUGUAGACAGAUUGUUUAUGUCUAAGACACAAACUGCACAGAGCAAAACCAGGCUUCUUCCAGGCAGACGGUGGUUUUUGAAGCCCAAGCAGGAUUGACACACAUGAUAGCUAGGAGACAGCAUCUUUGUGGAUGCAGGACUAUCCUCCAUAACGGAAGCCAGGGGCUGUUCUGAUUUAACCAUCAUUAAACUUCCUGGGGAGAGCAGGGGAGAAGGCCUGGCAGCUGCCUCGAGGUGACAGCUAUUGGCAUUAGUGUGUUCAUGUCAGAUACCCUGAGGCCCUCUGAAUGUCAGGCAGAAGCUCACAAGGGGAGAUUCUUAGAGGAGAUGUUUUUUUGCUAUGGAUGAGAGCAAGGAUAGGGAGUUUGGCUUGUAGUUCAUAUUACUUUAUUUGUAGGAAUGGAUGGUACCUAGACUAGGACACUUAAGUUAAAAAGCACAGAAAAACUUUCUACGUCGUCUCUAUCCCAGUACAGCACAUACGGAAUUCAUGUAUUUACAGAGUUACAAUACAAGGUAGUACAACUCCCUUGUUUCUUACUUUUUGACAUGGUACAAGGCUGACACCUCCUACUAUGUGUGAUUGAGAGAGAGAGAGAGAGAGAGAGAGAGAGAGAGAGAGAGAGAGAGAGACUGCCUUGAUGCAAUUCUUGGAGACCACAGGCACAGCAGGGGGCUCCAGUCUAGUGUAGAGCUGUAAAGAGAUUAUUUGAAUUUCAAAAUCCUUUCAUUAGCAUAUGUUUAGUACAGAAAUGGCAUACUUACUUAUGACAGAUUCAUAUACACACACAUACACACACACACAUACACACACACAUACACAUACUUAUACACACACAUACACCCGCAUGCACACACAUACACACACAUACUCAUACACACACAUACACAUACACACACACACACACACACACACACAUACACAUACAAUGUAUUCUAUUGUAUUUAGACUCUCUCAGCAAAGAGUCCUUGGGCUGGGAACUUCUGAGAGUGGUUAGUACAGUCUUCACAUUCAAAGAUGAUGGGAGUGGGGUAAGUGCAGGGUUUUGAAGUUGGCAGAGACGUGGAUACUAUAAAAGGCCAGAGCAUUUGCCGGGUAGGAAGAGAAGUUAUUUGUGGCCAGUCUUGAGUCUUAUUUUUUCCCUGGGAAAAUGAAGUUAGCAAACCGUAGGCAGCCUAUCUUGAAGUGUGCUCCUCCAUUGGGGACGUGAUGUCUCUGCAUCUCCGAUCCACACUGUAGCCCCCUGCUUCCGUUCACAGACCGACCCCUUUGUGCUCCCUACAUGCCUUUCAGACCCUAGUAUAUCAAGACAAAAACAGCAUCUUUCCUGCCUCAACCACAGACUUACUCCUUCCAUCUGGCAAUGCAAAUGAUGAACACCCCAAAAUUGUAGUACAAAAUCGGUAACCUGGUCUACUUGGCUGUUUUAACAGAAAAUUUGAUCAAUAAAAAUUUUGUGUUAUGUUGGGUUUUCCUCUGUCAUUAACAAAACAGAUUUUUUUUACUUUGAACUCAUCUUUAAUAGUGUAAAUAGUCCGAUUUCUUUUUUUUUUUUGGUACUAUUUUAUGUGUACAGGUGUUCUGCCUCACGAAUGUCUACCCCAUGUGUGUGCAGUGUCCAGGGACACCAGAAGAGGGUAUUGGAUUCCCUAGAACUGGAGUUAUAGAGCCAUGUGUGCGCUGGGAACCAAACCUGGGCUCUCCUAAAGAACAGCCAGGGGUUUUCAAUGCUAGCCGUCUCUCUGGCCCUUAUUGAUCUUAUGCCAAUCAGCAGGCUACACAGACAUAUAGUACAUUCAUAUUAGAAUAAUGUUACUAGAGAAUUCAUUCGCAUUUUGCCAAGAUUUUAAGAAUUAUUUUGUUGCCAGUGUCUUGGAUUGGCCCAAGAAUCAAUUCAGAAUCACAUCACACUAUAUUUGGUUAAUUUUGCUAAUCAGGUCUCCUUCAGUGUCAAACUCUGAGGUCAUUUCCUCUUUAGGCUUUUUGUGUUUUAUUUGUCCUUGACCCAAAGAAUACUGAUCAAAAGUUACUUUGAAGAAUGUCCUUGACCCUGAGUUUCUUAAUAUUUUCUCAUGAUUCCAUUAAGGUUAGGCAUUUUUGAUUAAAAAAAAAAUGGUACUGAAGUAUUUUUCUGACUAGCAUCAUUGGUAUCAACUCUGGUCCUUGGUCAAGGAGGUGACCUUUAGGCUGCUUCAUUGUGGAGUUACUCCUUGAGCUCCAGGAGAUGCUAAUUAUAUUGUGCAGAGAUUCUAAGCCAGAAACACAUUGUUUCUCUUUUCCUGUGGUCCACUAAUCCUAGCAUCCACUGAUGGGUCCUGCCUGUAACUGUUGCUGCUGAAGAAUUUGCCUGACUGUGACUUUCUAGUUCUGCCUUUGCUUCUAAUUAGACUUCUUGUGCCAAGAACACCCCUACCGUUUAUCUCUUCAGUUAUUUAUUUGUAUCUAUACACUCAUGGAUGCUUCUUUUGGCUUGGAGCUAUAACCCCAAAUUGUCAUGAUUAAUUUUAUUAGUCAGAUCUCUCCACCUUUCUGCCUUUAGCAACCCCUUCGGGUUGGUUCUUUGUUUCCACGCAAAUGACCUAUCACGUUUUCAGAACUUUAUUGCUUUGUGGUAACAUCAGUCAGGUGCAAGAUUAUUUUCUAUUUUCUCAACCUCAGACAUUCAGACAUUAUUUCCUCUUGGCCCUCCAGGUACUUGCAAUAGAAAAUGGGAUUUGUAAAAUGAGAAAUGAGCUAUAGCCCUGACCCUGGCUUUUGUGGUCUCGCCUUUUCCAGCCCAUCCGUGGCUUUUCUAGACUGUUGUAUUGAUACUAUAUUGGUAUUUACAUUGGUAUCAUGUUCUUCCCUUUAUAACUGUUAUACAACUGACGGUCACAUCUGAAACCAGGGUGUGUGAUUUCUUCACCUUUGUUCCUUUAACUCAUUAUUAUGUUUGCAUCCUCCAAGGCCUUUUGUAGUGUCAUAGAGGUUGGAAAGGUUUUUUGUGUUUUUUGUUUGUUUGUUUAUUUGUUUUUAAACUUGUGUAAAAAUGUUGUUGGGAUAUUGAUAUAGAUUGAAUUGAAUCUGUCAACUGUUUUAGGUUGUAUGAAGAAUUUCAAAAUACUAAGUCACACAAUCCAUGAACCCAGGAAAAUGUCUCAUGUAUUUGUGUUCCCUAAUUUAAUUUCCUCAAUCAUUGUUUGGUUUUCUUUCAUAGCCUUGUUUAAAUUUAUGUCCAAGUACUUAAGUGGUUGUAACUCUUGUAGAUGAUGCCUUUUCUUAUUAUUUUCAGAUGGUCAGGGUCAGUACACAGAAAUACGAGGGACUUUUUCAGGUGUUGAUUUUGGCAGCUUGAGAUUUGCGUAGAAUUUAUUUAUACUAAUAACCAAUUUUUGAUGAUGUUUUCAGGACUUUGUUUUCUGUAUUUUAUUAUGUCAUUAGCAAAUAGAGAUGGUUUAACUUUAUUCCAUCUAAUUUUCUUUCUCUUGAUUACUUAGUCUGGCUGGGACUUUGACGUGUUGUAUUGGAAGGAAGCAGGGAAGAGAGAAAGGAAUGUUUGUCUGCUUGUAUAUAUGUGCACCAAGUGCCUGCAGUGCCUGUGGAGACCAGAAGAGGGCAUCAGAUCCCUUGACCUGAAGUUACAGAACAGCUGUGAGUUGUAAUGUGUCUGGUGGGAACUGAACCUGAGUCCCCUGUUAACUAAAUUCAGACAACCUUUGUGAACCACUGAGACAGUUCUCUGGCCUGACAUAGUUUCUCUUUAAGCCUAUUAUAGUAAAUGUUUUAGUUCUCUUGAUUUCUUGUUUGCAUUUUCUCGUGUGUUUAGGUAAUUUGUGCUCUAUCUUCAGUCUGUCUCCAUGUGUGUCUUCCUGGGUCCCAGAGAUAAAUCUCACCUGACCCCUAACUGUAAUGCUGAGUUGUCCUGCUAGUGAAUUGUAGAGGAUUUCUGCAUCUGUAUUCCUCAGACAUUGGUCUAUACUUUUUAUCCUCAUAGGAUUCUUUUCUGAAUGUACAGCGCUAAUGUGGGAGCUCCAUAAUGGCUUCAGAAGCAUCCCUCCCCAUGCAGUCUUUUGGGAGAGUUGACAGGAAUUGUUAUUCAUCUGCUUUAAGCACUGAUGGAACUCAGCAGUAUAGCAGUUGGAUCUCAUAUUUGAUGGGAAACUUUUUUUAUUAUAGUUUCAAUCUUUGCUCACUAUAUGCUGGUCAUUUAAAAAUCCUAUUUACAUUAGUCAAUCUUUAUAGGUUGUAUGUAUGCAGGAUUUUGUUCAUUUCCUAUUUGUUGGCAAAUUGUACAUUGUAGCAUCUUCUAAACUUCUUUCUAUAUUUUUGUGCUACCCCUUGUAAUACUUCUUUUUGGUUUUAUUUACCUGGAAGUCUUAACUUUUUUAUUGGAUACAUUUCUUUAUUUAUAUUUCAAAUGUUAUUCCCUUUCCUGGAUUCCUGUCCAUAGUCCCCUAUCCCCCUCCCUCUCCCUCAAAGGGUGUCCCCUCAUUCCCCACUAGGACAUUCCCCUGCACUGGGGGUCCAACCUUGGCAGAACCAAGGACUUUCCCUUCCACUGGUGCCCAACAAGGCUUUCCUCCGCUACAUAUGCAGUUGGAGCCCUGGAUCAGUCCAUGUGUAGUCUUUCGGUAGUGGCUUAGUCCCUGGAAGCUCUGGUUGGUUGGCAUUAUUGUUCUUAUGGGGUUGCAAUCCCCUUCAGUUCUUUCAAUCCUUUUUCUAAUUCCUCCAAUGGGGGUCCCAUUCUCAGUUCAGUGGUUUGCUGCUAGCAUUCACCUCUGUAUUUGACAUGCUCCGGUUGUGUCUCUCAGGAGAGAUCUAUAUCUGGUUCCUAUCAGCAUGUACUUCUUAGCUUCCUCAAUCUUACCUAGUUUUGGUGGCUGUACACACACACACACACACACACACACACACACACACACACACACACACACACACACACACACA